rnacentral:lncRNA from 10 species
AGCUUUUCAUUGAAGCCAAUGGGAGGUUUGUUUCUUUUCUUUUCUUUUUAAAAUUAUUAUUAUUAUUAUUAUUAUUUUGAGACAGAGUCUCGCUCUGUUGCCCAGGCUGGAGUGCAGUGGCAUGAUCUUGGCUCACUACAACCUCUGCCUCCCAGGUUCAAGCAAUUCUCCUGCCUCAGCCUCCGGAGUAGUUGGGAUUACAGGCGCCUGCCACCACACCCGGCUAAUUUUUUUUAUUUUUAGUAGAGACAGGGUUUCAACAUGUUGGCCAGGCUGGUCUCAAACUCCUGAUUUCGUGAUCCACCCACGUCGGCCUCCCAAAGUGCUGGGAUUACAGGCGUGAGCCACCACAUCCGACAUCCGACCUUGUUUCUUUUCUUUUCUUUCUUUCUUCUUCUUUUUUUUUUUUUUUUUUUUUGAGACAGAGUCUUGCUGUGUCGCCCAGGCUGGAAUGCAGUGGCACAAUCUCGGCUUACUAUAUCCCCCUCCUCCUCCUGGGUUCAAGUGAUUCUCCUCCCUCAGCCUCCUGAGUAGCUGGGAUUACAGGCACGCACCACCACACCUGGCUAAUUUUUGUGUUUUUUGUAGAGAUGGGGUUUUGCCAUGUUGGCUAGGCUGGUGUCCAACUCCUAAGCACAAGUGAGCCGCCCGUCUCAGCCUCCCUGUGUUGGGAUUACAGGUGUGAGCCAUGGUGCCUGGCCCAAUGGGAAGUUUUAACUAGUGGGAAUAACAUAAUCACGGUGUAUUUCCAGCAGUCGCGUUGCAGUGUGAAGUGUACAUUUAAGAAGGGGGAGAGAAGUGGGGAUCAGAUAGAUAUUUAGGAUACUACUGCAGAAGUCCAGGUGCAAAAUGUAAUCAAGGCCUGAAGUAAAAAUAGGGAACACUCUUAGCCAGGUUCCCUGUACUAUGAGGCCCGCUGCAUGCGCACCUCCUGGCCCAUACACCCUGACCCCAGGGAAACCUUUUCUUGACAACUGGAACCAAGAUCUUGGUGUUCUUUUGCAAAGUCAGAGCUUGUUAAAUUGGAGUAUAGGUUGGGCGUGGUGGCUCACACCUGUAAUCCCAGCACUCUGGCAGGCUGAGUGGGGGGUGGAUAACUUGAGCCCAGGAGUUCAAGACCAGCCUGGGCAACGUGGUGAAAUGCUGUCUCUACUAAAAAUACAAAAAUUAGCUGGGCAUGGUAGUGCCCGGUUGUAAUCCCAGCACUUUGGGGGGCUGAAGCAGGAGGAUUGCUUGAAGCCAGGAGUUCAAGACCAGCCUAGGCAACAUAGUGAGACCCCUGUCUCUACAAAAAUAAAAAUCAAUAAAUUAAUUUUUUUAAAAAGCAGUGAGCAGCUGGGCACGGUGGCUCAUCACUCCCUGUGCUUUUUAAUGUAUCCGUAUAAGAAAAUUUAGUUUUAUGACAAUAUUGCCAGCAAUACAAAGUAUAUUUUUAAUCCAGACUCCUGAGGACAAGAAUCUGAAUUUAUCCUGCAUAGAAGAUUAGAGAAGAAAUAAACAAGUAACCAU